rnacentral:rRNA from 1 species
CUAACUUCAGGACGGGGACGACAGUUGGAAACGACUGCUAAUACCCGAUGUGCCGAAAGGUGAAACCUAAUUGGCCUGAAGAAGAGCUUGCGUCUGAUUAGCUAGUUGGUGGGGUAAAGGCCUACCAAGGCGACGAUCAGUAGCUGGUCUGAGAGGAUGAGCAGCCACACUGGGACUGAGACACGGCCCAGACUCCUACGGGAGGCAGCAGUGGGGAAUUUUCCGCAAUGGGCGAAAGCCUGACGGAGCAACGCCGCGUGAGGGAGGAAGGUCUUUGGAUUGUAAACCUCUUUUCUCAAGGAAGAAGUUCUGACGGUACUUGAGGAAUCAGCCUCGGCUAACUCCGUGCCAGCAGCCGCGGUAAUACGGGGGAGGCAAGCGUUAUCCGGAAUUAUUGGGCGUAAAGCGUCCGCAGGUGGUCAGCCAAGUCUGCCAUCAAAUCAGGUUGCUUAACGACCUAAAGGCGGUGGAAACUGGCAGACUAGAGAGCAGUAGGGGUAGCAGGAAUUCCCAGUGUAGCGGUGAAAUGCGUAGAGAUUGGGAAGAACAUCGGUGGCGAAAGCGUGCUACUGNGCUGUAUCUGACACUCAGGGACGAAAGCUAGGGGAGCGAAAGGGAUUAGAUACCCCUGUAGUCCUAGCCGCAAACGAUGGAUACUNNCGUGGCUUGUAUCGACCCGAGCCGUGCCNAANCUAACGCGUUAAGUAUCCCGCCUGGGGAGUACNCACGCAAGUGUGAANCUCNAAGGAAUUGACGGGNGGCCC